UGAGAAGUCAGCUGUCUACGAAAAGGGCUCUCAACAAAACCCAACUUGCCAGCACGCUAAUCUUAGAGUUCCCAGCCUCCAGAACUGUGAUUCCACAGAGGGGAAGAAAAAUAAAAUUGACUUUCUUAGCUCAAGUUUGACAGGUGAGUAACAGAACAUAUUCCAACUAUACUGAUGAAGUCAACUGCCCAUGUCCAAAUCAUAGGUCUUACGAAAAAAAUAUAUGCUUUCCUGUGACAUGAAGAUGAAUGACUCAAUGGCAAGUUCAAGAAUCCUACAGCAAAAGUAGUGCAGUCAUAAAAAUGUUUGGAUUUUGAAGGACCCAUAUAAGAAGGGCAAUUGCUACUUUAAAGUAACAUCCAUGGGAACUACUGCAGGAGUCAUAUCCAUCACUGUUGCCCUUGUAGUCCUCCAAGCACUCAUUCAGUCUUGGAAGCCCUAUCUUUGCCUAAUCUCUUGAUGGCAAGGAGGCAGCUUAGUUAUGACACUGCCAAGUGAUACGAAGAAAAGGAAAACUGGGUAAUCAUGACAGAGAAAAUUGAAAGAAGAGUAAACCAAGAAGCCAUGCUAUGAAGCCAAAUGAGGAGAAGCUAAAGCACAACUCACAA